rnacentral:ncRNA from 1 species
AGAAGUUCGCAAUUGUUUUUUUAUUUUCCCUUACUCCGAGGGAUAUGGUCUUUCUUCUACACACAGCAGUGCCACAUCUGUCAGUACUUCUGGUGCCC